GAUAACUUGCAAAGUAGUAUUUAAUGAGAUUUCAUGCUUUAGAAAUUAUGUUACAGAAAUCAAUAAACCUGCACAAUAUACCGGCCUGCUCUAAUUUUUUUGAAAUGUCUUCUAAGUUAUCAAUUUUUACUAUUUUAAUUUCGGUUUUCCAGAUAAUAGAGUCAAGCGGAUGUUUCCCAGAAAACAAUUGUGACAAGAACGCCAUUUGCAUAACUGCAGAGUCUUCUUAUUACUGUCAAUGUAAUGCAGGAUAUGAAGGAAGUGGAUACAUUUGCACAGGUUAAUACCACGAGAAUGAGUGUGUGGCAACGCAUCAAUGUAGUCCAUAUGCGGCAUGUGUGAACACAGACGGAAGCUAUGAAUGUAUUUGCAGAAAUGGAUACAUUGGGGAUGGAUUCAGUUGCCACAAAUCUUUUGACGAUAUCACCAAUUAAAGUGUUCAAUUAAAUUAUCUUCAACUAUCGCCAUCCAUGUGUUUUUCGCAAGUAGGCUUGCUUCUGAGAGUUAAU